CCUACGGGUGGCAGCAGUGAGGAAUAUUGGUCAAUGGCCGGAAGGCUGAACCAGCCAAGCCGCGUGAAGGACGAAGGUGCCAAGCAUUGUAAACUUCUUUUGUCAAGGGACAAAAUCAGGCUCGAGAGCCUGACCGAGGGUACUUGAAGAAAAAGCAUCGGCUAACUCCGUGCCAGCAGCCGCGGUAAUACGGAGGAUGCGAGCGUUAUCCGGAUUUACUGGGUGUAAAGGGAGCGUAGACGGCUGUGCAAGUCUGAAGUGAAAGCCCGUGGCUCAACCGCGGAACUGCUUUGGAAACUGUAUGGCUUGAGUACUGGAGAGGCAGGCGGAAUUCCUAGUGUAGCGGUGAAAUGCGUAGAUAUUAGGAGGAACACCAGUGGCGAAGGCGGCCUGCUGGACAGAAACUGACGUUGAGGCUCGAAAGCGUGGGGAGCAAACAGGAUUAGAUACCCGUGUAGUC
rnacentral:rRNA from 1 species